rnacentral:ncRNA from 1 species
AUAAAUAAAUUUUUUAUGAUUUAUAUAAUUUUUUUUAAAUUUGUUUUACAUAUAAAUUUUAGUGUUAAAUUUUAAUUAUUUAAAUAAUGAUUAAUUUUAAUUUGUAGUAAUUUAUAUUAAAAAUUUAAGAAAUUAAGAUUUAGUAAUAUAAGAAUUUAUAACAAAUUUUGUGCCAGCAGUUGCGGUUAAACAAAAAUUAAAUAAAAUUUUAUUAGUAAUUAAUAAGUAUUAAUAAAAUUAAUUUAAAUAUUGAAUUAUUAAGUGAAAUUUUAAUUUAAUUAAAAAUUAUUUUUAAUAAAUAUGAUUUAAAAAAUUUUAAUGUAAACUAGGAUUAGAUACCCUAUUAUUAAAAAUUUAAAUAAAAAAUACUAAAAUAGUAUAUAAUUAUUUAUUGAAACUUAAAUAAUUUGGCGGUAUUUUAGUUUAUUUAGAGGAAUCUGUUUAUUAAUUGAUAAUCCACGAAUAAUUUUACUUAAUUUAUUAUUUUGUAUAUCGUUGUUAAAAAAAUAUUUUUUAAUAAUUUUAAUAUUUUAAAAUUUUUAAUAAAAAUUAAAUCAGAUCAAGAUGCAGAUUAUAAUUAAGAAUAUAAUGGAUUACAAUAAAAUUAUUUAUAUGAAUAUUAAUUUGAAAUAAUUAAUUGAAAUUGGAUUUAAAUGUAAUUUUAUUUAAUUUAAUAAAAUGAUUAAAUAUUAAAAUAUGUACAUAUUGCCCGUCGCUUUCAUUUAUAAAUUGAAAUAAGUCGUAACAAAGUAGAGGUACUGGAAAGUGUUUCUAGAAAGAA